rnacentral:rRNA from 1 species
AGAGCUUGCUCUUCGAUUCAGCGGCGGACGGGUGAGUAAUGCCUAGGAAUCUGCCUGGUAGUGGGGGACAACGUUUCGAAAGGAACGCUAAUACCGCAUACGUCCUACGGGAGAAAGCAGGGGACCUUCGGGCCUUGCGCUAUCAGAUGAGCCUAGGUCGGAUUAGCUAGUUGGUGAGGUAAUGGCUCACCAAGGCGACGAUCCGUAACUGGUCUGARAGGAUGAUCAGUCACACUGGAACUGAGACACGGKCCAGACUCCUACGGGAGGCAGCAGUGGGGAAUAUUGGACAAUGGGCGAAAGCCUGAUCCAGCCAUGCCGCGUGUGUGAAGAAGGUCUUCGGAUUGUAAAGCACUUUAAGUUGGGAGGAAGGGCAUUAACCUAAUACGUUAGUGUUUUGACRUUACCGACAGAAUAAGCACCGGCUAACUCUGUGCCAGCAGCCGCGGUAAU